rnacentral:ncRNA from 1 species
UACCUGGUUGAUCCUGCCAGUAGUCAUAUGCUUGUCUCAAAGAUUAAGCCAUGCAAGUCUAAGUACGAGCUCUCGUACAGUGAAACUGCGAAUGGCUCAUUAAAUCAGUUAUGGUUCAUUUGAUCGUACAGUUUACUUGGAUAACUGUGGUAAUUCUAGAGCUAAUACAUGCGAGAAGCGCCGACCUCGCGGGAGGCGUGCAUUUAUCAGACCAAAAACCGGCCGCGUCUUCGGGCGCGUUCG